UUUUUUUUUUAAGCCGAUAAUUAGAAGAAAAGAACGAAGGUGGCAUGGAGGGACCCUAGAGGUCAAAACAUAGAGCUUGUAGGAAAGUCCUCUUUGGAGAUCUGAAACGGACAUGUUUCUCUCUUACAUGUUUAAAUUCAGCACUAGGUUCAUUCAGGGGCUUGCCUCUUAAAAGAGUUGAACUGUACUCUGAGGGAGGAGGAGGAAGAAAUGUAUGGGAGCUGACAUUAAGAGGGAUGGAGUUCAGCGGCAUGAUCUCGGCUGACUGCAACCUCCGCCUCCCAGGUCCAAGUGAAUCUUAUGCCUCAGCCCCCCAAGAAGCUGGUAUUACAACCAUGCACCAUGACAUGAGGCUAAUUUUUGUAUUUUUAGUUUAGAUAGGGUUCUACCAUGUUUGCUGGUUUCUUAAAUAGUUAAAUAUAGAAUUCACAUAGGAGCCAGUAAUUUCACCCUCAAGUACAUACACAAAAGAAUUGAAGAGAUACUAAAAAAAUACAUGUAUACAUAUGUUCACAGCAGCAACAUUCACAAGAGCCAAAAAAUGAAAAUAAUCCAAACCUCUAUCAGCAGAGGAAUGGAUAAACAAAUUAUGAUACAUACAUAAAACAGAACAUUACUCAAGCAUAAAAUGGAAUGAAAUCCCAAUAUAUUACAGUAUGAAUGAAACUUCACUAUAUUACACUAAGUUGAAAGAAGCCAGAUACAAAAGGUUGCAUGUUAUAUGAUUCAUUUACAUGAAAUCUCUAGAAUAGUUAGGUCCAUGGAGACAGAAAGCAAAUGUUUUGCCAAGGGCUGGAGAGAGAGAGAGGGGAAUAAGAAGUAACUGCUUAAUGAGUAUGGGAUGUUCUUUUGGGGCAAUAAAAAUAUUUUGGAGGUAGAUAGAUGUGGUGGUUUUACAACAUUGUGAUUGUACCAAAUACCACUGAAUUUUUCACUUUAAAAUAAUUGAUUUCAUGUUAUAUGAAUCUUACUUCAAUUUUUAAAAAGCCUCUUACUAUUGGGUACACAUCUUUUUCUCACUUUGUAAAAUUGGCUCCAAUUUUUCUAGGAACACAAUAUGGCACAAAGACUAACGUACUUAUUUAACAGAAAGUACUUAAAAAACAACAGAAAUAUUGCCAGAGAUUUGGAGAAAAAAGAAAUUAAGACAAAUUGCAUUGUACCAGAGGUUUUCUGUUGAAAGAAAGAACAGAUGUUUCUAACAUGUCUCAGGUUAUGAUUUUGGUAGAUGAACUGCCUCAAUAAUAAAACAACAAAGAUGAACUUUGUUGGUGUGGUCAAUAAAAGCAAGAUGUACUGGAAACAAUUUAAAACAGUGUUUAAUAAAAAUGAUGAUUAUUGGCAAAACAGUCAAACUGUUUUAGUGUGCCUGUUAUGAAGUCAAUAAAGAAAAAGAAAGAUUCUCAGGUUACAUUGAGAAAUAUUAUAUGAAAUAUUCAUUCACCAAAUUAUUCACAAAGAAACCAUUGCAGUUAAAUAGUAGUAGAUAAAAGGUACAAGGAUGUCAUUAAUGAGAAUAACGCUACUUUUAAAAUAUAUUUAAAUAUAGUAAACUAUAAUAAACCAUCUCUUUCUCUCGUUUGCUUGCAAUGUAUGCAAAACAAUCAUUUUUGGUCUUCCGAAUAUGGAGGGAUAAUAAAACAAUAGGCCACCUGUUUUUAUAAAGUUUUAUUUGAACAUACAGAAAAUACACUUGAUAUGAUAGUUCAUAAAAUAGGAAGUAGCAAAGUAUUUAAGAGAGUGAUGAGUGUGAUGAAAAUUAUACUUUUCUGUUAUCACUCACCAAUCAUCUCAAACUUAGUAAACUUUUUUGAUGAUAAGUAGUUGUCAGUACUCUUUAACCUAAUACAUUUUAAAUCAAUUUUAACAUAUUGGAAUAUCCCUUCAAGGUUAAAAGGACAUUUAAAAAUAACUAAGAAAGCGAUAGCUUUUUAAUAGAGAGUUAUACUAUGAGGAGAGCAUUUUGAGAACAGACUUUAGAAAAUGUUUCUGCUGUUAUGAAAUGUUAAUUGCCCAAACUACAUGUAACUUAUGGUAUUCUCAUAUUGGCUUUUCCCAAAAAAUGGAAAGUGAUUUUUUACCUAUCUAAAUCUUUCAAAUAAAUAUUUUUAGUGGAUUGGAAGUCAUUUAAAAAAUAUAUAGACUCAAAACUUUCUAAAAUUUGUAAGAUUAUUUCCACUUUUAAGCAAAAUGAUUAGGUAAUGAAAGACUGAGGAGUGGCGAUCAUGAUUGAUUAUGGAGACUAGACCUUGUCCACUUACAACCAUUGAAAUCAAGGUAAACUAAAUGUGGAACUGUAUCUUUGAUGUUUUAUAUAUCAACGUGUAAAGUCAAG
ensembl:lncRNA